GUUUAACUUCUAUAUUAGAUAUAUUUAAAC
rnacentral:other from 1 species